rnacentral:rRNA from 1 species
UGCCUAACACAUGCAAGUCGAACGGCAGCACAGCAGAGCUUGCUCUGUGGGUGGCGAGUGGCGGACGGGUGAGUAAUGCAUCGGGACCUACCCAGACGUGGGGGAUAACCUCGGGAAACCGGGACUAAUACCGCAUACGCUCGAGAGAGGAAAGCGGGGGAUCUUCGGACCUCGCGCUCAAGGGGCGGCCGAUGGCGGAUUAGCUAGUUGGUAGGGUAAAGGCCUACCAAGGCGACGAUCCGUAGCUGGUCUGAGAGGACGACCAGCCACACUGGGACUGAGACACGGCCCAGACUCCUACGGGAGGCAGCAGUGGGGAAUUUUGGACAAUGGGGGCAACCCUGAUCCAGCAAUGCCGCGUGUGUGAAGAAGGCCUUCGGGUUGUAAAGCAC